rnacentral:piRNA from 1 species
UUUAGAACAAUCCAUGGAAAA